AUUGAACGCUGGCGGCAGGCCUAACACAUGCAAGUCGAACGCGUGGCGGGCGGGUGAGUUAUGUGUGGGAAACCGCGUGAUGGAGGGGGAUCACUACGGGAAACGGUAGCUAAUACCGCAUAAUCUCGGAUGUGCCCAGAUGGGAUUAGCUUGGAGGUGGGGUAAGGGCUCACCUAGGCGACGAUCCCUAGCUGGUCUGAGAGGAUGACCAGCCACACUGGAACUGAGACACGGUCCAGACUCCUACGGGAGGCAGCAGUGGGGAAUAUUGCACAAUGGGCGCAAGCCUGAUGCAGCCAUGCCGCGUGUAUGAAGAGGGCCUUCGGGUUGUAAAGUACUUUCAGCGGGGAGGCGUUACCCGCAGAAGAAGCACCGGCUAACUCCGUGCCAGCCGCCGCGGUAAUAC
rnacentral:rRNA from 1 species